GGACGAACGCUGGCGGCGUGCCUAACACAUGCAAGUCGAACGGAACUAUUUUGACUGAUUCCUUCGGGAUGAAGAAUUUUAGUUAGUGGCGGACGGGUGAGUAACGCGUGAGUAACCUGCCUCUGAGAGGGGAAUAACGUUCUGAAAAGAACGCUAAUACCGCAUAACACAUAUUUGCCGCAUGACAGAUAUGUCAAAGAUUUUAUCGCUCGGAGAUGGACUCGCGUCCGAUUAGUUAGUUGGUGAGGUAACGGCUCACCAAGGCCGCGAUCGGUAGCCGGACUGAGAGGUUGAACGGCCACAUUGGGACUGAGACACGGCCCAGACUCCUACGGGAGGCAGCAGUGGGGGAUAUUGCGCAAUGGGGGCAAAACCCCCUGACGCAGCAACGCCGCGUGAAGGAUGAAGGUUUUCGGAUUGUAAACUUCUUUUAUCAGGGACGAACUCUGACGGUACCUGAUGAAUAAGCUCCGGCUAACUACGUGCCAGCCGCCGC
rnacentral:rRNA from 1 species